rnacentral:rRNA from 1 species
GGAUCCAGACUUUGAUUAUGGCUCAGGAUGAACGCUAGCUACAGGCUUAACACAUGCAAGUCGAGGGGCAGCGGGAUUGAAGCUUGCUUCAAUUGCCGGCGACCGGCGCACGGGUGAGUAACGCGUAUCCAACCUUCCGUACACUCAGGGAUAGCCUUUCGAAAGAAAGAUUAAUACCUGAUAGUAUCUUAAGCACACAUGUAAUUAAGAUUAAAGAUUUAUCGGUGUACGAUGGGGAUGCGUUCCAUUAGGUAGUAGGCGGGGUAACGGCCCACCUAGCCAACGAUGGAUAGGGGUUCUGAGAGGAAGGUCCCCCACAUUGGAACUGAGACACGGUCCAAACUCCUACGGGAGGCAGCAGUGAGGAAUAUUGGUCAAUGGACGAGAGUCUGAACCAGCCAAGUAGCGUGAAGGAUGAAGGUCCUACGGAUUGUAAACUUCUUUUAUAAGGGAAUAAACCCUCCCACGUGUGGGAGCUUGUAUGUACCUUAUGAAUAAGCAUCGGCUAACUCCGUGCCAGCAGCCGCGGUAAUACGGAGGAUGCGAGCGUUAUCCGGAUUUAUUGGGUUUAAAGGGAGCGCAGACGGGUCGUUAAGUCAGCUGUGAAAGUUUGGGGCUCAACCUUAAAAUUGCAGUUGAUACUGGCGUCCUUGAGUGCGGUUGAGGUGUGCGGAAUUCGUGGUGUAGCGGUGAAAUGCUUAGAUAUCACGAAGAACUCCGAUUGCGAAGGCAGCACACUAAUCCGUAACUGACGUUCAUGCUCGAAAGUGUGGGUAUCAAACAGGAUUAGAUACCCUGGUAGUCCACACGGUAAACGAUGGAUACUCGCUGUUGGCGAUAUACUGUCAGCGGCUUAGCGAAAGCGUUAAGUAUCCCACCUGGGGAGUACGCCGGCAACGGUGCAACUCAAAUGAAUUGACGG